UACGUAGGGGGCAAGCGUUGUCCGGAAUCAUUGGGCGUAAAGAGCGUGUAGGCGGCUUGGUAAGUCCGCUGUGAAAGUCCAGGGCUCAACCCUGGAAAGCCGGUGGAAACUGUCAAGCUUGAGUCCGGAAGAGGCGAGUGGAAUUCCUGGUGUAGCGGUGAAAUGCGCAGAUAUCGAGAGGAACACCAGUGGCGAAGGCGAGUCCCUGGACAGGUCCUGACGCUGAGGCACGAAAGCUAGGGGAGCAAACAGG
rnacentral:rRNA from 1 species